rnacentral:rRNA from 1 species
GGAGGGUGCAAGCGUUGUUCGGAAUUAUUGGGCGUAAAGAGCGUGUAGGCGGUUCGGUAAGUCAGAUGUGAAAGCCCUGGGCUCAACCCAGGAAGUGCAUUUGAAACUACCAGACUUGAAUACGGGAGAGGAGGGGGGAAUUCCCGGUGUAGAGGUGAAAUUCGUAGAUAUCGGGAGGAAUACCAGUGGCGAAGGCGCCCUCUGGACCGAUACUGACGCUGAGACGCGAAAGCGUGGGGAGCAAACAGGAUUAGAUACCCUGGUAGUCCACGCCGUAAACGAUGAGCACUAGGUGUAGCGGGUAUUGACCCCCCUGCUGUGCCCGUAGCUAACGCAUUAAGUGCUCCGCCUGGGGGACUACGGUCGCAAGACUA